rnacentral:rRNA from 1 species
GACGAACGCUGGCGGCGUGCCUAAUACAUGCAAGUCGAGCGGGGCCUUCGGGCCUAGCGGCGGACGGGUGAGUAACACGUAGGCAACCUGCCUGUAAGCCGGGGAUAACGUCGGGAAACCGAUGCUAAUACCGGAUAAGUGAUGUCUUCGCAUGAAGAGAUCUUAAAAGACGGAGCAAUCUGUCGCUUACGGAUGGGCCUGCGGCGCAUUAGCUAGUUGGUGGGGUAACGGCUCACCAAGGCGACGAUGCGUAGCCGACCUGAGAGGGUGAUCGGCCACACUGGGACUGAGACACGGCCCAGACUCCUACGGGAGGCAGCAGUAGGGAAUCUUCGGCAAUGGGCGAAAGCCUGACCGAGCAACGCCGCGUGAGUGAAGAAGGGUUUCGGCUCGUAAAACUCUGUUGCCAGAGAAGAACGGCGGGUAGAGUAACUGCUACAGUCUUGACGGUAUCUUAUCAGAAAGCCACGGCUAACUACGUGCCAGCAGCCGCGGUAA